CGUGGAUCGAUUUGUCUGGUUUAUUCCGAUAACGAGCGAGACUCUAGCCUACUGAAUAGUUUCACGAUUUUCAAGUCAUGUAGACUUCUUAGAGGGAUAAGCGGUGUUUAACCGCACGAGAUUGAGCGAUAACAGGUCUGUGAUGCCCUUAGAUGUCCGGGGCUGCACGCGCGCUACACUGGAGAAUUCAGCUGGUCUUCCAUUGCCGAAAGGUAUUGGUAAACCGUUGAAACUUCUCCGUGACCGGGAUAGGGAAUUGUAAUUAUUUCCCUUGAACGAGGAAUUCCUAGUAAGUGUGAGUCAUCAGCUCACGCUGAAUACGUCCCUGCCCUUUGUAC
rnacentral:rRNA from 1 species